GGAGUUGCCUUACAUUUAGGCCAUGUUUGGAUGCAUAGUUAAAAAAUUCCGUGAAAUUUUUAUUCUAUGGUUUUGAUCUAAAUGAAAUACGAAAUUCUGUAACUACAAAAAAAUUCCACAGCUUCAUUUUUAAGCUGUUUGGAUACAGAUCAUACAAUUCCACAGUAUUUAUAACAAUUAAAUAUCUAAAAUUUUAAAAUUUAAAAUUCAAAAUUCAAAAUUUAAAAAUAAAAUUUUUAAAAAUUAAAAUUCAAAAUUCAAAAUAUAAAAUUAAAUUUUAAAAUUUAAAAUUAAAAAGUAAAUUAGAUUUUAUGUUUUAAAUUUGAAAUUUGAAAUUUGGAAUUUGAAAUUUAAAAUUUAAAAUUUGAAACUUUAAAUUUUAAAAUUUAAAGUAUACCAUUUAAACUUUAAAAUUUGAAAUUUAAAAAAUAUAUAAUUAAAAUUUUAAAUUUUAAAUUUAAUAAUUUAUAAAUUUACAUAUUUAUAAAUUUAAAAUUUAAAAUUUAAGUUUAAAUUAAAAUUUUAAAAAUUGAAAAUUAAAAAUUAAAAAUUAAAUUAAAAUUUGAAAUUUGGAAAUUUGAACUUUUUGAAGUUUGAAAUUUGAAAGUU
rnacentral:lncRNA from 1 species